rnacentral:rRNA from 1 species
UUAGCGGAGGAAAAGAAACCAACUGGGAUUACCUUAGUAACGGCGAGUGAAGCGGUAAAAGCUCAAAUUUGAAAUCUGGUACUUUCAGUGCCCGAGUUGUAAUUUGUAGAAUUUGUCUUUGAUUAGGUCCUUGUCUAUGUUCCUUGGAACAGGACGUCAUAGAGGGUGAGAAUCCCGUUUGGCGAGGAUACCUUUUCUCUGUAAGACUUUUUCGAAGAGUCGAGUUGUUUGGGAAUGCAGCUCAAAGUGGGUGGUAAAUUCCAUCUAAAGCUAAAUAUUGGCGAGAGACCGAUAGCGAACAAGUACAGUGAUGGAAAGAUGAAAAGAACUUUGAAAAGAGAGUGAAAAAGUACGUGAAAUUGUUGAAAGGGAAGGGCAUUUGAUCAGACAUGGUGUUUUUUGCAUGCACUCGCCUCUCGUGGGCUUGGGCCUCUCAAAAAUUUCACUGGGCCAACAUCAAUUCUGGCAGCAGGAUAAAUCAUUAAGAAUGUAGCUACUUCGGUAGUGUUAUAGCUUUUUGGAAUACUGUUAGCCGGGAUUGAGGACUGCGCUUCGGCAAGGAUGUUGGCAUAAUGGUUAAAUGCCGCCCGCUA